rnacentral:rRNA from 1 species
GGCCCCCGGGUCCGACCUCCCAACCUUUGUAACCAUCCCGUGCUUCGGGGGCGACCCUGCCGGGCGCCCCCGGAGGACCACACAACACUGCAUCUUUGCGUCGGAGUUUACGAGUAAAUCGAAACAAAACUUUCAACAACGGAUCUCUUGGUUCUGGCAUCGAUGAAGAACGCAGCGAAAUGCGAUAAGUAAUGUGAAUUGCAGAAUUCAGUGAAUCAUCGAAUCUUUGAACGCACAUUGCGCCCCCUGGUAUUCCGGGGGGCAUGCCCGUUCGAGCGUCAUUACACCACUCCAGCCUCGCUGGGUAUUGGGCGUUUCGCGGGGGAGCAAUCCCCCGCGCGCCUCAAAGUCUCCGGCUGAGCGGUCUCGUCUCCCAGCGUUGUGGCAUCACGUCUCGCCGCGGAGUUUCGAGCCCUCACGGCCGUUAAAUCACACCUCAGGUUGACCUCGGAUCGGGUAGGGAUACCCGCUGAACUUAAGCAUA